rfam:Erinaceus europaeus unplaced genomic scaffold scaffold00024, whole genome shotgun sequence
AGUGUAAGAUGAAACCUUGGUAAUGCUAUCUCCCAACUGCUCAGUGGGGAGGAAGGCAACCUUGGAGAGCUGAAUGUGGC